AUGGCUACUAAUCUCACUAACACUUGUCUCAAACGUUCUUUCUCCUUAUUGAUCUGCUGCUGGAAAUCCUUAUCAAUGGUCUUAUUUUUGGCUAGUCUAACUUUUAACUCAUUCCAAGUGUUCAUGGUUUUAAUAUGGUCUACACCAUUUUCAUGUUCUUUAAGCCUCUCGCUAAGAUGCUUCCAGUCACUCAAUCCAUUACCUGCUAAUGCACUCUUGUUGCUAUGGGAUUUGAAAAGCUUGCAACAAAAGCAGUACACUUUGUUAGCAUGUUGA
rnacentral:rRNA from 1 species